AAACCUUUUCAAAAGACAACUGCUACAUGUUGAGUUUACACAGCAGUCGCCAUCGCAAUGUACAUCAAGUUCACAUGAUAACCCCAAACAUCUCUCACGACAGAUUACAUCACCCGCAGGUAUGGUACAACACCUUAAUUCACAGUUCUGACCAGAUUUACGUUCUUUUGCACUGGUCAGUAACACGAAACUGGGUAAAACAAUCAACAAUUUGAACAACAUGACUCUAAAAAGGUUUCACCACAAAUGAUUGACCAUUCAGCGAGUGCGUGGUUAUAUUUAUCAAUUUCAAUUUCAAUUUCAAUUUCGAUUUCAAUUUCAAUU